rnacentral:rRNA from 1 species
UACGUAGGGUGCGAGCGUUAAUCGGAAUUACUGGGCGUAAAGCGUGCGCAGGCGGUUUUGUAAGACAGAUGUGAAAUCCCCGGGCUCAACCUGGGAACUGCGUUUGUGACUACAAGACUUGAGUAUGGCAGAGGGGGGGUAGAAUUCCACGUGUAGCAGUGAAAUGCGUAGAGAUGUGGAGGAAUACCGAUGGCGAAGGCAGCCCCCUGGGUCAAUACUGACGCUCAUGCACGAAAGGCGUGGGAGCAAACAGGAUAG